rnacentral:sRNA from 1 species
GCUGGGCAUGGUGGCCCUCACCUGUAAUCCCAGCAGCUGGGGAAGCUGAGGCAGGAGGAUCCAGAGUUCAAAGCCUGCCUCAACAACAGCAAGAUGUUGAGCAACUCAGUGAGACCCUGUCUCUA